UGGGGAAUUUUGGACAAUGGGCGCAAGCCUGAUCCAGCAAUGCCGCGUGCAGGAUGAAGGCCUUCGGGUUGUAAACUGCUUUUGUACGGAACGAAACGGCGAACUCUAAUAAAGUUUGCUAAUGACGGUACCGUAAGAAUAAGCACCGGCUAACUACGUGCCAGCAGCCGCGGUAAUACGUAGGGUGCAAGCGUUAAUCGGAAUUACUGGGCGUAAAGCGUGCGCAGGCGGUUAUAUAAGACAGAUGUGAAAUCCCCGGGCUCAACCUGGGACCUGCAUUUGUGACUGUAUAGCUAGAGUACGGUAGAGGGGGAUGGAAUUCCGCGUGUAGCAGUGAAAUGCGUAGAUAUGCGGAGGAACACCGAUGGCGAAGGCGGCUCACUGGUCCGGUACUGACGCUGAGGUGCGAAAGCGUGGGGAGCAAACAGGAUUAGAUACCCUUGUAGUCCCUGAGCGGGCUGGCAAGGCGCAU
rnacentral:rRNA from 1 species